rfam:Schistosoma curassoni strain Dakar, Senegal genome assembly, scaffold: SCTD_scaffold0006018
UGCCGAGGAGUCCCACAAUAGGACGAAACGGCCGUCCA